rnacentral:rRNA from 1 species
UACGUAGGGUGCAAGCGUUAAUCGGAAUUACUGGGCGUAAAGCGUGCGCAGGCGGUUGUGUAAGACAGAUGUGAAAUCCCCGGGCUCAACCCUGGGAACUGCAUUUGUGACUGCACAGCUGGAGUGCGGCAGAGGGGGAUGGAAUUCCGCGUGUAGCAGUGAAAUGCGUAGAUAUGCGGAGGAACACCGAUGGCGAAGGCAAUCCCCUGGGCCUGCACUGACGCUCAUGCACGAAGCGUGGGGAGCAAACAGG